rnacentral:rRNA from 1 species
CCUACGGGGGGCAGCAGUCGAGAAUCAUUCACAAUGGGGGAAACCCUGAUGGUGCGACGCCGCGUGGGGGAAUGAAGGUCUUCGGAUUGUAAACCCCUGUCAUGUGGGAGCAAAUUAAAAAGAUAGUACCACAAGAGGAAGAGACGGCUAACUCUGUGCCAGCAGCAGCGGUAAUACAGAGGUCUCAAGCGUUGUUCGGAACCACUGGGCGUAAAGCGUGCGGAGGCUGUUUCGUAAGUCGUGUGUGAAAGGCGCGGGCUCAACCCGCGGACGGCACAUGAUACUGCGAGACUAGAGUGAUGGAGGGGGAACCGGAAUUCUCGGUGUAGCAGUGAAAUGCGUAGAUAUCGGGAGGAACACUCGUGGCGAAGGCGGGUUCCUGGACAUUAACUGACGCUGAGGCACGAAGGCCAGGGGAGCGAAAGGGAUUAGAUACCCUAGUAGUC